CUCGGGCCGGGAUGUUCACAACCCUUUGUUGUCCGACUCUGUUGCCUCCGGGGCGACCCUGCCUCCGGGCGGGGGCCCCGGGUGGACAUUUCAAACUCUUGCGUAACUUUGCAGUCUGAGUAAAUUUAAUUAAUAAAUUAAAACUUUCAACAACGGAUCUCUUGGUUCUGGCAUCGAUGAAGAACGCAGCGAAAUGCGAUAAGUAAUGUGAAUUGCAGAAUUCAGUGAAUCAUCGAAUCUUUGAACGCACAUUGCGCCCCCUGGUAUUCCGGGGGGCAUGCCUGUUCGAGCGUCAUUUCACCACUCAAGCCUCGCUUGGUAUUGGGCGACGCGGUCCGCCGCGCGCCUCAAAUCGACCGGCUGGGUCUUUCGUCCCCUCAGCGUUGUGGAAACUAUUCGCUAAAGGGUGCCGCGGGGGGCCACGCCGUGAAACAACCCCAUUUCUAAGGUUGACCUCGGAUCAGGUAGG
rnacentral:rRNA from 1 species